UAAACUUGUUGAAAUCUUCCAUGUAGCUGUGAUUGUUCUCUCCGGACAUGGAGGAUCAGUUCUUGGACAAAUUUAUCUGUCUGUUGUAUGACUUGCCACCAUUUUUUCGAAAUUUCUAUUCACAUGUUAUCAAACCAAAAAUAUUUCAAUAUCUUAAAACUUUAGUAGAAUUAAUCUGCCUCUAUUUCUGGACUCUAGCAUUUUGUGCUUCUUCACAAGUUCUAAGUUGUUAUUUGGCAAUUAAUUUAAUUUGAUCUUGAACUUUGGGUUCUUGGCACUCGCCCGUGCAGGUUAUGACUAUGUCAUAGGUGACGUGCGGAAAGGUGACCAACAAGGAGAAGAUUGCAUGAAGAAUUCUUGCUAUCAACUAGGGCUGGAUGCCCCCAGGAAGAAUACUGAAAGGAGAGCAGAGUUCAGGGCAUGUUCAGCUCCAUCCAUGCAUCAAGGGAAAUAUAUACGAGGCAAAGGAAUUACGUGUUCUGCUAGAUGACAUAGUACAAGGUUCAGCAGCGACGACAUGAUCUCAAACAUGGCACUGAGUACAAGGCAAAGUUAUGUGGUGGGUCGGAUGGAGAGCUUGGCGCGGCGAUGUGGCAGGCUGCUCUACAGUGGCACUAAUGGAGAGCUCAGUCAACGAUGACGGGGCGACCGACUGAUCUGCGGCAGCGUGGAAGGAGGGCUCGGCGGUCGACAUGGUGGCUUGAUCCGCUGUUCUGCGACGUUUCGGAGAACUUCUUGUACUGGUGUGUGUGUGUGUAUGCAUAGGUGUUGUACUAUCCUGGGCGCUCACUCCCCCAGGAUCCCACAAGUUUGCAUAGAGCUCGGACGUCGGUGGCGGCCUGGCACGCUAAUCUGCCGCCUCCACAUGAGGAGUCGUGAGAUUAGUGCAUCACAUUCAAAAGUCACCGCUCCGUGAUUAGGGCAUUGCAUUCAGGCAUUCAGUAGAUUAGAAGACAUAUUUAGCUAGCACUGGGAUCCAUCGCCAUUGUAGGGCCUUGAAUCUUUUCAAUCCUUGCCAGGACAGUUCUUGCCAUGGACGACGGGUCUCUCUGUGUGGUCUUGGUCCAAAAGCUAAAAUAGGGAAUAAGAUGUGCCUUGCCGUGUGGAGUGUUGGGUAUCUUUUGCACUUGCUCCAUCAGCUGCAGAAAUAUAGCCCAAAUGCAGCAUACUGCUACUAUUUCAUAUCAUUGAUUGAUGAUUUGUUUUUUCAUAAUUGAAUUGGCGAAUGAUGAAAAGGUGUAAUGUUCAGGGAUUUUUCCUAGAUGAUUUGUUGAUCCAGUUUAAUUUUAGUAG